AGAAAAAUGUGGAGGAGCCGGUGUUGCUGGCUGAGAUAGCGUCCUUAAGAUGUUGACUCUUAGAACCUGAUCUGGGUGAUGCCAGCGUAGGGAACAGUAUCUCUUUUUAG
rnacentral:ncRNA from 2 species